AUUGAACGCUGGCGGCAUGCUUUACGCAUGCAAGUCGAACGGUAACAGGGAGCUUGCUCCGCUGACGAGUGGCGAACGGGUGAGUAAUGCGUCGGAACGUGCCGAGUAGUGGGGGAUAACGCAUCGAAAGGUGUGCUAAUACCGCAUACGAACUGAGGUUGAAAGUGGGGGACCUUCGGGCCUCACGCUAUUCGAUCGGCCGACGUCUGAUUAGCUAGUUGGUAGGGUAAAGGCCUACCAAGGCGACGAUCAGUAGCGGGUCUGAGAGGAUGAUCCGCCACACUGGGACUGAGACACGGCCCAGACUCCUACGGGAGGCAGCAGUGGGGAAUUUUGGACAAUGGGGGAAACCCUGAUCCAGCCAUGCCGCGUGUCUGAAGAAGGCCUUCGGGUUGUAAAGGACUUUUGUCCGGGAGCAGAUACCCAGUGCUAAUAACGCUGGGGGCUGAGAGUACCGGAAGAAUAAGCACCGGCUAACUACGUGCCAGCAGCCGCAGUAACAC
rnacentral:rRNA from 1 species